rnacentral:rRNA from 1 species
CUAAUAGCGUAUAUUAAAGUUGUUGCAGUUAAAAAGCUCGUAGUUGAAUUUCGGAAUCUGUCCGUCUGUCGGGCUUAACUGUCCGUACUGGUGUGAUGGGUUCUUACCUUCUGAAUAACCAGCAUGCCAUUUAUUUGGUGCGUUGGGGAAGCAGGACUAUUACCUUGAAAAAAUUAGAGUGCUCAAAGCAGGCUAGUGCCUGAAUAUAUUAGCAUGGAAUAAUAAAAUAGGACGGCAUGGUUCUAUUUUGUUGGUUUCUAGGAUCACCGUAAUGAUUAAUAGGGAUAGUUGGGGGCAUUAGUAUUCAAUUGUCAGAGGUGAAAUUCUUGGAUUUAUUGAAGACUAACUUCUGCGAAAGCAUUUGCCAAGGAUGUUUUCAUUAAUCAAGAACGAAAGUUAGGGGAUCGAAGACGAUCAGAUACCGUCGUAGUCUUAACCAUAAACUAUGCCGACUAGGGAUCGGACGAUGUUAAUUUUUUAAUGACUCGUUCGGCGCCUUACG